CAGUCGCCGCGGGAAUACGUAGGGUGCAAGCGUUAAUCGGAAUUACUGGGCGUAAAGCGUGCGCAGGCGGUUUGUUAAGACAGAUGUGAAAUCCCCGGGCUCAACCUGGGAACUGCAUUUGUGACUGGCAGGCUAGAGUAUGGCAGAGGGGGGUGGAAUUCCGCGUGUAGCAGUGAAAUGCGUAGAUAUGCGGAGGAACACCGAUGGCGAAGGCAGCCCCCUGGGCCAAUACUGACGCUCAUGCACGAAAGCGUGGGGAGCAAACAGGAUUAGAUACCCCUGUAGUCCCUGUCUCUUAUAA
rnacentral:rRNA from 1 species